CUGAUGCAGCCAUGCCGCGUGUGUGAAGAAGGCCUUCGGGUUGUAAAGCACUUUCAGUCAGGAGGAAAGGUUAACGGUUAAUACCCGUUAGCUGUGACGUUACUGACAGAAGAAGCACCGGCUAACUCCGUGCCAGCAGCCGCGGUAAU
rnacentral:rRNA from 1 species